UACGGAGGAGGCAAGCGUUAUCCGGAAUUAUUGGGCGUAAAGCGUCCGCAGGUGGCACUUCAAGUCUGUCGUCAAAGACUGGGGCUUAACCCUGGAAAGGCGGUGGAAACUGAAGCGCUAGAGUGCGGUAGGGGUAGAGGGAAUUCCCGGUGUAGCGGUGAAAUGCGUAGAGAUCGGGAAGAACAUCGGUGGUGUAGACGGCUUUCUGGACCGUAACUGACGCUGAGACACGAAAGCGUGGGUAGCAAACAGG
rnacentral:rRNA from 1 species